GCCCCCGUGGCGCAGUGGUAGCGCGCUCUCGAGUUACUUGCAUCCCCCGAUGCACCCUCCCCCUGCCCCUCCCCCAAAGGGUGCAUUGCAGGGAGUGGUUUCCACUCUGAGAGAGGUCCUCGGUUCAAUCCCGAGCGGAGGCA
rnacentral:tRNA from 1 species